GAUGAACGCUGGCGGCGUGCUUAACACAUGCAAGUCGAACGAAGCACUUUAUUUGAUUUCCUUCGGGACUGAUUAUUUUGUGACUGAGUGGCGGACGGGUGAGUAACGCGUGGGUAACCUGCCUUGUACAGGGGGAUAACAGUUGGAAACGGCUGCUAAUACCGCAUAAGCGCACGGCAUCGCAUGAUGCAGUGAAAAACUCCGGUGGUAUAAGAUGGACCCGCGUUGGAUUAGCUAGUUGGUGAGGUAACGGCCCACCAAGGCGACGAUCCAUAGCCGACCUGAGAGGGUGACCGGCCACAUUGGGACUGAGACACGGCCCAAACUCCUACGGGAGGCAGCAGUGGGGAAUAUUGCACAAUGGGCGAAAGCCUGAUGCAGCGACGCCGCGUGAGCGAAGAAGUAUUUCGGGAUGUAAAGCUCUAUCAGCAGGGAAGAUAAUGACGGUACCUGACUAAGAAGCACCGGCUAAAUACGUG
rnacentral:rRNA from 1 species